GGGGUAGUAGCUCAGCUGGUUAGAGCGCUGGUCUGUCACACCAGAGGUCGCGGGUUCAAGUCCCGUCUAUCCCGCCA
rnacentral:tRNA from 1 species